rnacentral:rRNA from 1 species
ACGCUCGACACCUACGCGAGGCAGCAGUCGGGAAUAUUGCGCAAUGGAGGAAACUCUGACGCAGUGACGCCGCGUAUAGGAAGAAGGUUUUCGGAUUGUAAACUAUUGUCGUUAGGGAAGAAAAAAGACAGUACCUAAGGAGGAAGCUCCGGCUAACUACGUGCCCGCAGCCGCGGUAAUCUGAGCGGGCUGGCAAGGC